UACGUAGGGUGCGAGCGUUGCCCGGAUUUAUUGGGCGUAAAGGGCGCGCAGGCGGCUACGCACGUCCGUUGUGAAAUCGCUCGGCUCAACUGGGCGGGGUCAGCGGAUACGGCGUAGCUGGAGCAAGCUAGGGGGCAAUGGAAUUCCCGGUGUAGUGGUGGAAUGCGUAGAGAUCCGGAGGAACCCCAGAGGCGAAGGCGACGCCCUGGCUCGUACCUGACGCUCAGCCACGAAAGCAUGGGGAGCGAACGGG
rnacentral:rRNA from 1 species